rnacentral:rRNA from 1 species
UACGGAGGGUGCAAGCGUUAUCCGGAUUCACUGGGUUUAAAGGGUGCGUAGGAGGGCAGGUAAGUCAGUGGUGAAAUCUCCAAGCUUAACUUGGAAACUGCCGUUGAUACUAUCUGUCUUGAAUAUUGUGGAGGUGAGCGGAAUAUGUCAUGUAGCGGUGAAAUGCUUAGAUAUGACAUAGAACACCAAUUGCGAAGGCAGCUCGCUACACAUAUAUUGACUCUGAGGCACGAAAGCGUGGGGGAUCAAACAGG